CGGGAAUAGCUUAGUGGUAAAGCGUUGGUUUCUAACCAAAGACAUUGAGUUCGAUUCUCUUUUUCCCGC
rnacentral:tRNA from 1 species